GUCCACAACAGCUCCGGCAGAGUCAGUCUAAUGACAGAAAAAGUCUGAGCUGUUCUGCAGCGACUGUACGGCCGAGCUCAGACCGACUUUAGCGGCUCAGACAGCGGGAGAGCAGCGGCUAAUCUCCGGCUCCUCAACAGGCUGAUUCAUCAAACCAGUCAGACUGGAUUCUUGGACAGAGAAAUGAUGAAGGUUUAGCGGCAGCUGGAAUCAAAGCAUGAAGCUGCUUCUCUGCUCAGACGCUUCAGUAACAGAGCUGCAGAGUGACACAUACUCAAGAGGAAGAGCUCGUUCCUGGAAUCAGAGUGCUGCUGGUUUCUUCCAACAUGGAAAGGGCUCAAAACUGGCACAAAAACUUUCAAACUUCCUCUGAAGAGCUUUCCACAAAAUUCUGAGCUCACAUCGCUCCACCAUCAUUAUUCACACUCACA